UACAGAGGUCCCAAGCGUUGUUCGGAUUCAUUGGGCGUAAAGGGUGCGUAGGCGGCGGGGUAAGUCAGGUGUGAAAUCCCGGAGCUCAACUCCGGAACUGCACUUGAUACUACCUUGCUAGAGUACUGGAGAGGAGACUGGAAUUUACGGUGUAGCAGUGAAAUGCGUAGAUAUCGUAAGGAAGACCAGUGGCGAAGGCGAGUCUCUGGACAGUUACUGACACUGAGGCACGAAGGCCAGGGGAGCAAACGGG
rnacentral:rRNA from 1 species